UAGAGAACGCUGGCGGCGUGCCUAAUACAUGCAAGUCGAGCGAACGGACGAGAAGCUUGCUUCUCUGAUGUUAGCGGCGGACGGGUGAGUAACACGUGGAUAACCUACCUAUAAGACUGGGAUAACUUCGGGAAACCGGAGCUAAUACCGGAUAAUAUUUUGAACCGCAUGGUUCAAAAGUGAAAGACGGUCUUGCUGUCACUUAUAGAUGGAUCCGCGCUGCAUUAGCUAGUUGGUAAGGUAACGGCUUACCAAGGCAACGAUGCAUAGCCGACCUGAGAGGGUGAUCGGCCACACUGGAACUGAGACACGGUCCAGACUCCUACGGGAGGCAGCAGUAGGGAAUCUUCCGCAAUGGGCGAAAGCCUGACGGAGCAACGCCGCGUGAGUGAUGAAGGUCUUCGGAUCGUAAAACUCUGUUAUUAGGGAAGAACAUAUGUGUAAGUAACUGUGCACAUCUUGACGGUACCUAAUCAGAAAGCCACGGCUAACUACGUGCCAGCAGCCGCGGUAAUACGUAGGUGGCAAGCGUUAUCCGGAAUUAUUGGGCGUAAAGCGCGCGUAGGCGGUUUUUUAAGUCUGAUGUGAAAGCCCACGGCUCAACCGUGGAGGGUCAUUGGAAACUGGAAAACUUGAGUGCAGAAGAGGAAAGUGGAAUUCCAUGUGUAGCGGUGAAAUGCGCAGAGAUAUGGAGGAACACCAGUGGCGAAGGCGACUUUCUGGUCUGUAACUGACGCUGAUGUGCGAAAGCGUGGGGAUCAAACAGGAUUAGAUACCCUGGUAGUCCACGCCGUAAACGAUGAGUGCUAAGUGUUAGGGGGUUUCCGCCCCUUAGUGCUGCAGCUAACGCAUUAAGCACUCCGCCUGGGGAGUACGACCGCAAGGUUGAAACUCAAAGGAAUUGACGGGGACCCGCACAAGCGGUGGAGCAUGUGGUUUAAUUCGAAGCAACGCGAAGAACCUUACCAAAUCUUGACAUCCUUUGACAACUCUAGAGAUAGAGCUUUCCCCUUCGGGGGACAAAGUGACAGGUGGUGCAUGGUUGUCGUCAGCUCGUGUCGUGAGAUGUUGGGUUAAGUCCCGCAACGAGCGCAACCCUUAAGCUUAGUUGCCAUCAUUAAGUUGGGCACUCUAAGUUGACUGCCGGUGACAAACCGGAGGAAGGUGGGGAUGACGUCAAAUCAUCAUGCCCCUUAUGAUUUGGGCUACACACGUGCUACAAUGGACAAUACAAAGGGCAGCGAAACCGCGAGGUCAAGCAAAUCCCAUAAAGUUGUUCUCAGUUCGGAUUGUAGUCUGCAACUCGACUACAUGAAGCUGGAAUCGCUAGUAAUCGUAGAUCAGCAUGCUACGGUGAAUACGUUCCCGGGUCUUGUACACACCGCCCGUCACACCACGAGAGUUUGUAACACCCGAAGCCGGUGGAGUAACCUUUUAGGAGCUAGCCGUCGAAGGUGGGACAAAUGAUUGGGGUGAAGUCGAAAGGGGGGAAAAAAAAAAAAAAUUCCGGCC
rnacentral:rRNA from 1 species